AUUGAACGCUGGCGGCAGGCCUAACACAUGCAAGUCGGACGAGCGGCGGACGGGUGAGUAAUGUCUGGGAAACUGCCUGAUGGAGGGGGAUAACUACUGGAAACGGUAGCUAAUACCGCAUACCAUCAGAUGUGCCCAGAUGGGAUUAGCUUGUUGGUGGGGUAAAGGCUCACCAAGGCGACGAUCCCUAGCUGGUCUGAGAGGAUGACCAGCCACACGUGGACUGAGAAACGGCCCAGAAUCCUACGGGAGGCAGCAGUGGGGAAUAUUGCACAAUGGGCGCAAGCCUGAGGCAGCCAUGCCGCGUGUAUGAAGAAGGCCUUCGGGUUGUAAAGUACUUUCAGUGGGGAGGCGUUACCGACAGAAGAAGCACCGGCUAACUCCGUGCCAGCAGCCGCGGUAAUUC
rnacentral:rRNA from 1 species